rnacentral:rRNA from 1 species
UACGUAGGUGGCAAGCGUUGUCCGGAUUUACUGGGCGUAAAGAGCGCGCAGGCGGUCGUUCAAGUCGCGUGUGAAAGCCCCCGGCUCAACUGGGGAGGGUCACGCGAUACUGAUCGACUCGAAGGCAGGAGAGGGUAGUGGAAUUCCCGGUGUAGUGGUGAAAUGCGUAGAUAUCGGGAGGAACACCUGUGGCGAAGGCGGCCCCCUGGUUGGAUACUGACGCUGAGACGCGAAAGCGUGGGGAGCAAACAGG